GUUUAUGUUAAAUAUAUGAGUAAUAUCAAUGGACCCCUCCCCAGAAAAAAUCCCUAAAACCGUCACUGUCCCUAGUUAAAAAUCACUAAAACUCAAUUAAAUAUUAGUGACAGUCAAACGAUUUUGUUAUUAUGAGGGGAGGAGGGGGAAUGAGGCAAUUUGUUUACAAUCAUUGUUAUUGAAAUUAUUAAAAUAUAUAUUACAUUAGAGCUCCAUAUUUCACGUUAACACGCUUUC